GGGGGCAUGGCGGAAUGGUAGACGCUACGGACUUAAAAUCCGUUGACUGCAAGGUCGUGAGGGUUCAAGUCCCUCUGCCCCCA
rnacentral:tRNA from 1 species